CAGGGCUCACUGACCACCUAGACCUGCUCUCCUGUGGUACAGAACAAAGAGACCUGGACGAUGGAGAGGGAAGAGACAGUAGCUAAGGAUCCAGGGCCACAAGCCGGCUAUUCAUUGUUCUUCAAAGAGAAAAUCAAAGAAGAAACACGGAAAGAAAUGGCUGAUUCUCCAUUAAUCAUGUCCCAGAUAAAGAAAAACACAUUGCAGUUCACCAGACGCAGAGGCUAGUCAAGUCAAUGCAUUAACAGAAGCUCUGGAGCCUCAGAUGUGGUUUCAUGUUUUCAUGAUCAAAUAUAUCCUUAUGAACUGUUCCACUACCCAAACCCAAAAUACCUGUGUUAUUUCCUAUGAUGUUUUGCUGGAGCAGAUGUACAUGAAAGAGUGUUGAAGCUGCCAUAUUAAAGAAUGCCACAGCAG
rnacentral:lncRNA from 1 species